rnacentral:rRNA from 1 species
CAGCGCCACGAGUGGCAACUGUAUUUAUUGGGCCUAAAGCGUCCGUAGUCUGUCAAAUAAAUUUCUUGUGAAACUGUUAAGCUCAACUUAGCAACGUGCAGGAAACACUGUUUGACUUGGGACUGGGAGGAGUUAGGAGUAUACUUGGGGUAGCGGUAAAAUGUUUUAAUCCCAAGGAGACUACCGGUGGCGAAGGCGCCUAACUAGAACAGUUCCGACGGUGAGGGACGAAAGCCAGGGGAGCAAACCGGAUUAGAUACCCGAGUAGUCC